rnacentral:tRNA from 1 species
ACUUAUAUAGUUUAAAUUUAAAACCCUUCAUUUUCAAUGAAAAAAUAGAUAUAUCUUAUAAGUU